rnacentral:lncRNA from 1 species
AUGAAUUUCCUUUCUCAGGCUCACAGCUUGGGGUCCCACGUCCGCUCGCUCCGAGCGAGGGCUGAGAGUUGGAGCUCCUGGGGUCUGCCAACCUGCUCACCACCACCCGCCCCCGCCUCCCCGGGGUUCCCAGGAGUGCUGUGGGGAAGCCGUCGGGUUUUCCACGGCAUCCUCGCUGGUUUGCCCUCCGUCCACGUCCACGGGCUUUCUCCUCGCAGCCUCUCCCGCCCCUGCCCCUCACGGCCCGGGAGGCGGGAGGCGCGGCGGCCGCUGGCGGGGAGAGAGUGCGCUCGCCCCGGACCCGGCUGCACAAAGGGGGCGCAGCCCCGGCCUCAGCUCAACGCGGAUUCGUGGUCGUGGGGCGCCCAGCAACGCCUGAAACUCCGUACUCCCGUGCUGCUCUGGGGUGUCCUCCAGAGUUUGGCCAGUGAGAUUGGAUAUUUGCACUUCUGCACAACAGAGAUCUUUUAAGUAAGGUGAGAGAAAUUGAGCCUCCUAAUGUUUAAGUUUGGUAGAAGUAACCUUUGCUUUUGAAAACUCUGUUACCUCUUUAUUUUUGUUUAUUAAGCACCACUGAGAACCAAACAAGAUUAGAGAAAAUUGUGCAAGUGAGCAUUUGUCCCUGUUCCACCCAUUCAUUUGCACGCCUUCCACUUUUACCUCCUGCAUUUUUCCUUCUCGAGGAUGUCCAUCGCACUCAGGGUUUCACAGCCCCUCAUUUUCCAGGAGGAAAUCUAUAACUUGAAAUUUAGUCACCUUUUUGUGCCUGGCUUUUCUCAUUUAAGAUUUCCUAAAUCAUAAUAUUAUGGGGGUUAAAUGAGUUAAUGUAUGUCACAGGGCUUGGUAUUUGGUUGUGCCUAAUGGGGAGUGUUUAGUUACCUGAGUGUUUAGUUACUCAAAGAACUUAUUAAUAAUGACAGAGAGUCACACUCUUUGUUGGAAAGUUUUACAGUGUUAAAAAUCCAUAGCACAAGGGCUGGUAUUUUGUCUUCUGUACACAUUUGUAAAAUAUUUUAAGCAUGAUGAUGAGUGGGUCAGUCACCGGAAGACUGCAGGCACAAGAGAGAAUAUAGAAUAUCCUAAGUAUCCCAAGAAUCAUGAGUCUCAUUUAAAAAAAAAAUUUUUGUAGUACAGUAGAUUUAACCCAGGGCCUUGGCACUAACAUCCCGAACAUGUUUGCCUUUUAUUUUGAGACAAGGUCUUACUGAGUCACCAAGUUGCCCAGGUUGGGCUUGAACAUGUGAUCUUUCUGCCUGAACUUUCCAUAGUUUCUUACUUCUGCUGGGGAAAGGAGACAACAAUAGCUAUAUAGUGUUGAGCUAGUUAAUUGUUUUAUAUCUUCUAUAAUUUCCAUUUCUUGCAUAGUAGACAGUAUCUUUUUGUCUUUUUUGAGACAGUCUUACUUUAUAGGGUAAGUUGGCCUUAAACUCACUAUUUUGCCCAGGCUGGUCUCCUACUUGUGGCUAUCCUCCUGCCUCUGCUUCCCAAGUGCUGGGAUUACAGGCAUGUGCCACCACACCUGGUAUAUGGUAUAUUUUAAAAUCCAGUAUGAAUGUUCUAGGGGCUGGGGAUUUAGCUCAGUGGCACAGCACCGGCCUGGCAAGCACGAGGUCAUGAGUUUGAUUCCCGGUACCAGAAAAAAAAAAGAAAAGAAAACAAAACAAAACAAUAUCAAUGUUCUAUAUUAAGACCUAUUAAACAUUUUAAAACCAUCUUCUGGCAUUGUGAAAUUUUUUUUUGAGACAUCACAUUUUAAAGCAUUCAAGAUAUUACUCCACCCAUUUUACUUCAAGAAUACUGUAUGCAAAAUAAUUUUGAAGGACAUUUCAUUUUCUAGUAUGUAUUUUCAGCAGGUGGCUAGUGGCCUUUGACCUAUUCUAGCAGCACACAGAACUGAAUGUCAGACUCAAGUUCUUUAAAUGUUGUAUUUUCAUCUUGUAUAAUGAAACAUAGUAAUUUUUUUAGACAGCCUUAUAUAUUUUCUCAAGUAGUUAUUGAUAGAGAUUUGUCAAUUUAGUAGGAGAGAAGAAAAAUCCCAAAAUUUUAUAGCAGUUAGGUUUUAAGAAUAUUUAGAUAUGCUCAGGUUUAUAAAUCCAAAUAUUUUAAUAAUAUCAAAUCUAAUGUAUUUACAUCUUAAAAAUGAUCUAAACGUGUUAGCUUCCUGUCUUUUCCAUAUCUCUUGACUAUUGUUACAAAAAUACACACAUUUCAAACAACCAAUUUUCUCUUUAGUGAUAUCCAAUUUUUAUUGAAAUUUAUACAGUAUAUUGUUGCCUAUUUCUACAUCAACUUUAAGAACUAUAAGUAUGAAGAAUAAGCACCAAUUCUUUGUGAAAAUAGUUAAUUGUGUAUACUGUAUGAUAAACAGCGAUUGCUCAGCUUUCUAAGAUUAGUAAUUUCAGGGCAUUAUCAGUGUGAAUUUCAGAUUAAGUAUUGGGAUGAGUUUUUAUACAGUGAUAGUCUUGGCAACCAUGUACCAAAUUAAGUAGCAUCACUCGGAUCUAAACAUCAGUGAAUUUUGAGAUGUAGUUGUGCAUGUAGCUUGACUGAUGCUCAAAGAAACACGUCGUGUGUGUGUGGAGGGGGGAAUGACAACACUAAGAGUAAUAUUUCAUGUACUGCACAUAUUACAGCUGGCAUUUUGCCACUUAGCUCUAUGAUAAGGGAGGAAUAUUGUUUGCAUUUCAGGCCUAAUUUUCAAGACUGAGUUCUAAUUUUGUUUAUUCCCUUAGGUAAUUACUGGAUUUCAGCAUGCAAAGGAAUUUUAUUAUUGGAUUUUUUUUAACCGUUAAACUUGUAUAGUAAAUGUCCUCUCUUUAAAUUUAGGCACAAAAAAUUCUCCCACAUCAAAGUAGCUUGUGAUUCUCAUUUGUGGCUAGAGUGUUAAUCAUCUUUCGAUAAUGCUUUGAAGUUAGCUUUCUUCCCCUUC